rnacentral:rRNA from 1 species
CAGGUGGUGCAUGGCUGUCGUCAGCUCGUGUCGUGAGAUGUUGCGUUAAGUCCCGCAACGAGCGCAACCCUCGUCCUAUGUUGCCAGCGGGUAAUGCCGGGGACUCAUAGGAGACUGCCGGGGUCAACUCGGAGGAAGGUGGGGAUGACGUCAAGUCAUCAUGCCCCUUAUGUCCAGGGCUUCACGCAUGCUACAAUGCCCGGUACAAAGGGCUGCGAUCCCGCAAGGGGGAGCGAAUCCCAAAAAGCCGGUCUCAGUUCGGAUGGGGGUCUGCAACUCGACCCCAUGAAGUGGGAGUGUUAGUCAUCGCAGAUCAUCAACGCCGCGGUGACCACGUCCCCG